rnacentral:rRNA from 1 species
UGAAUACGAGACGCUACGGCGUCGAAGCAGUCUAUGUCAUACUUCCAAGAAAAGCUUGCACUGUCAUAAACAAAUAAUGCCUGUACCAUAACCGACACAGGUGGGUAGGUAGAGUAUACUAAGGGGCGCGAGAUAACUCUCUCUAAGGAACUCGGCAAAAUGACUCCGUAACUUCGGGAGAAGGAGUGCCUUAUUUAUAAGGUUGCAAUAACAAGAUCCAAGCAACUGUUUAUCAAAAACACAGGUCUCCGCUAAGUCGUAAGACGAUGUAUGGGGGCUGACGCCUGCCCAGUGCCAGAAGGUUAAAGAAGUUGGUUAGCAUUAGCGAAGCUGAUAACUGAAGCCCUGGUGAACGGCGGCCGUAACUAUAACGGUCCUAAGGUAGCGAAAUUCCUUGUCGGGUAAGUUCCGACCCGCACGAAAGGCGUAAUGAUUUGGAUACUGUCUCGGAGAGGGGCUCGGUGAAAUAGACUUGUCUGUGAAGAUGCGGACUACCUGCACCUGGACAGAAAGACCCUAUGAAGCUUUACUGUAACCUGAAAUUGAAAUUGGACUUUAUUUGCGCAGUAUAGGUGGGAGGCGUUGAGAAUAUUCUUGCGGGAAUAUUGGAGCCAUCAGUGAGAUACCACUCUCGUAAUGUUAGAUUUCUAACUUUGAAUCAUUAUCUGGUCAAAGAACAGUUUCAGGCGGGCAGUUUGACUGGGGCGGUCGCCUCCUAAAUGGUAACGGAGGCGCACAAAGGUUUCCUCUGAACGGGUAGAAAUCGUAUCUAGAGUGUAAAGGCAUAAGGAAGCUUGACUGUGAGACCUACAAGUCGAGCAGGGACGAAAGUCGGUCUUAGUGAUCUGACGGUGCUGAGUGGAAAGGCCGUCACUCAACGGAUAAAAGUUACUCUAAGGAUAACAGGCUGAUCUCCCCCAAGAGUUCACAUCGACGGGGAGGUUUGGCACCUCGAUGUCGGCUCAUCGCAUCCUGGGGCGGUAGUACGUCCCAAGGGUUGGGCUGUUCGCCCAUGAAAGCGGUACGCGAGCUGGGUUCAGAACGUCGUGAGACAGUUCGGUCCAUAUCCGGUGUAGGCGUUAGAAUAUUGAGAGGAGCCUUCUUUAGUACGAGAGGACCGAGAAGGACAUACCUCUGGUGUACCAGUUAUCGUGCCAACGGUAAACGCUGGGUAGCUAUGUAUGGAGAGGAUAACCGCUGAAAGCAUCUAAGUGGAAAGCCCACCUCAAGAUAAG